GGGUGCUGGGGCGCGCUGGGGGGCCGGGGGGGCCCCGUCGUGACCCUCCCGCGGUCGGCGCAGGGCGCUGGAGCAGGAGAUCGGCUUCGACUUCGGGCCGCAGGGCGAGUUCUCCUACCUGUACAGCCAGUGCUACGAGCUGGGCACCAGCGAGUACAUCUACCGGCUCUGCCCCUUCAAGCGGGUGUCGCAGAAGCCCAAACACGGCGGCGCCGAGACCAACCUGGGCACGUGGGGCUCCUGGGCCGGCCCCGAGCACGACCGCUUCAGCGCCAUGAAGUACGAGCACGGCACCGGCUGCUGGCAGGGCCCCAACCGCUCCACCACGGUGAAGCUGUCGUGCGGCACGGAGACGGCGGUGACGGCCACGACGGAGCCGAGCCGCUGCGAGUAUCUCAUGGAGCUGCUGACGCCGGCGGCCUGCCGCCAGCCCCCCCCCGCCGGCGACGACCACGACGAGCUCUGAGCCCCCCGGUACCGCACCCCCCGCGCACGGGCCGCG